UACGGAGGGUGCAAGCGUUGUCCGGAUUUAUUGGGUUUAAAGGGAGCGUAGGCGGUCUUUUAAGUCAGCGGUGAAAUCCUCCAGCUUAACUGGAGAACUGCCAUUGAUACUGAAAGACUUGAGUACAGACGAGGUAGGCGGAAUUGACAGUGUAGCGGUGAAAUGCAUAGAUAUUGUCAAGAACACCGAUUGCGAAGGCAGCUUACUAGACUGUAACUGACGCUGAGGCUCGAAAGUGCGGGGAUCAAACAGG
rnacentral:rRNA from 1 species